GCAGGAUGCUGACGCUCUCCAGGUUGCCCUUCAUGGCGGCCCAGCUGAGCGGCGUGUCGUCGUUGUAGUCGCGGGCGUUCACCAGGGCGCCGUUCUCCAGCAGUGAGCGCACACACUCAGCCGUGUUCUUGAAGGCCGCCCAGUGCAGCGGCGUGUCCUUGUUGCCGUCCAGCGCGUUGGGGUCGGCUCCGUACUCCAGCAGGAUCUCCACGCAGGUCUCGUCCUUCUCAGCCGCGUAGUGCAGGGCCGUGCGGUUGUAGCCGUCCAAGGCGUUGACCUCUGCUCCCUUCUGCAGCAGCAGCUCCACGCAGUCGGCAUCAGCCACCAUGCAGGCGCAGUGCAGCGGCUUCAGAGUGCCGUGCAUGCAGUUCACAUCCGCGCCCCGUCCGAUCAGAUCCUCCACGUUGUCCCUCGGAAAGGAGCGGAUGGCGGCGAUGGUGCGGAUGAGGCGCUCGGACAGCGAGUAUUUGCUCUGCACGCUCUGCAUGAUGUACCACAUCCUGCGGGCCGCCCGCCCGCCACCGCCGCCGCCGCCGCCGCCCCGCCAGGCCCGGCCCGGCCCCCAAACCCCGAGCGGUGCCGGGGCGGGGUGGGACGACGAGAAGUGGGUACCGGAGGAGGGAAGAGUCUGUACGGAGUACGUGCAGCCGGGGCACAGCGAGGUCCUGGAACGGGGAAGGGGCCCGGGGCC
rnacentral:lncRNA from 1 species